AUUGAACGCUGGCGGCAGGCCUAACACAUGCAAGUCGAACGGUAACAGGAAACAGCUUGCUGUUUCGCUGACGAGUGGCGGACGGGUGAGUAAUGUCUGGGAAACUGCCUGAUGGAGGGGGAUAACUACUGGAAACGGUAGCUAAUACCGCAUAACGUCGCAAGACCAAAGAGGGGGACCUUCGGGCCUCUUGCCAUCGGAUGUGCCCAGAUGGGAUUAGCUAGUAGGUGGGGUAACGGCUCAUCUAGGCGACGAUCCCUAGCUGGUCUGAGAGGAUGACCAGCCACACUGGAACUGAGACACGGUCCAGACUCCUACGGGAGGCAGCAGUGGGGAAUAUUGCACAAUGGGCGCAAGCCUGAUGCAGCCAUGCCGCGUGUAUGAAGAAGGCCUUCGGGUUGUAAAGUACUUUCAGCGGGGAGGAAGGGAGUAAAGUUAAUACCUUUACUCAUUGACGUUACCCGCAGAAGAAGCACCGGCUAACUCCGUG
rnacentral:rRNA from 1 species